ensembl:lncRNA
AUGAGGCCUAAUUGGGACCUGUCAAUUGUUCAUCACCUCAACAAACAGGUGAUGUGAGCACGUCAUCCAAGCAGCCAAUAGGGAGAGGUGGGGCAGGUGCAUUUUGAUGAUAUUAAAGGAACAUGUGGCUGCUUGGAGAAGUAGGACAGAAACAUUUGUCUGUUUUUGAGGGUGGCCAGGGUUGUUUUUGGAGCUUUGAUUUUUGCAAUGGCAGAAACACUCUGGAAGCCUUUGUGGUAUGUCGAUUUCAUUUAGUGAUAUUUAACAGAAAACAGCUUGCUUUCUUUGUUAAUUAUAUCUGUUUUCAACAGGAUUUUGUUACUAGUACUGAGUUAUGCUGAUGCAGGAAGUGUUUACAGGCAUCAUUGUACAAAAGAUGGUGCUCAGGAUGGGAGCACUGAAAGUACUACUGCUCAGACAAGCUCUGAUUCUGGAUUUGUGCCUAGUCAAGAAGCUUAUUUUGAGGAAACCCAGGACUUCUCAAAAACUCAGGCCUUUGAUAGUAGUUUGACCAAUGCAGGCUCAAGGGCAUUCAGUUUUCAGGGAACUACCUACACCUCAAGCUUUCAGCCACUAACUAGGGAUCUUAAGCCUGCCCUAAGCACCUCCUUCCAACAAGCCUCAGACCAGUCUGUGCAGACAGCAUACCAGCAGGCAGGUUCAGCCCGGCCUGUCCAGAGCAGCUGCCGACGGGUAGCUUCAGCCCGGCCUGUAGCGAGCGGCUACCAACACGUGGCUUCAGUCCGGCCUGUAGCGAGCGGCUACCAACAGGUUGCUUCCGCCCGGCCUGAAGCGAGCGGCUACCAACAGGUUGCUUCCGCCCGGCCUGAAGCGAGCGGCUACCAACAGGUGGCUUCCGCCCAGCCUGUCCCGAGCAGCUACCAUCAGGUGGCUUCAACCCAGCCUGUCCCAUCUGCUUCCCAGAGAGUAUCUUCCGCCCAGCCUGUAGCGAGCAGCUACCAACAGGUGGCUUCCGCCCAGCCUGUAGCGAGCAGCUACCAACAGGUGGCUUCCGCCCAGCCUGUAGCGAGCAGCUACCAAAAGGUGGCUUCAGCCUGGCCUGUCCCAUCUGCUUCCCAGAGAGUAUCUUCAGCCCAGCCUGUAGCGAGCAGCUACCAACAGGUUGCUUCAGCUCAACCUCUAGCGAGCAGCUACCAACAGGUGGCUUCCGCCCAGCCUGUAGCGAGCAGCUACCAACAGGUGGCUUCCGCCCAGCCUGUAGCGAGCAGCUACCAACAGGUGGCUUCCGCCCAGCCUGUAGCGAGCAGCUACCAACACGUGUCUUCAGCUCAACCUGUAGCGAGCAGCUACCAAAAGGUGGCUUCAGCCUGGCCUGUCCCAUCUGCUUCCCAGAAAGUAUCUUCAGCCCAGCCUGUAGCGAGCAGCUACCAACAGGUUGCUUCAGCUCAACCUCUAGCGAGCAGCUUCCAACAGGUGGCUUCAGCCCCGCUUUUCCCAUCUGCUUCCCAGAGAGCAUCUUCCGCCCAGCCUGGAGCGAGCAGCUACCAACAGGUGGCUUCCGCCCAGCCUGGAGCGAGCAGCUACCAACAGGUGGCUUCCGCCCAGCCUGGAGCGAGCAGCUACCAACAGGUGGCUUCAGCUCAACCUGUAGCGAGCAGUUACCAAAAGGUGGCUUCAACCCCGCUUUUCCCAUCUGCUUCCCAGAGAGCAUCUUCAGCCCAGCCUGGAGCGAGCAGCUACCAACAGGUGGCUUCCGCCCAGCCUGGAGCGAGCAGCUACCAACACGUGGCUUCCGCCCCGCCUUUCCCAUCUGCUUCCCAGAGAGUAUCUUCAGCCCAGCCUGUAGCGAGUAGUUACCAAAAGGUGGCUUCAGCCCCGCUUUUCCCAUCUGCUUCCCAGAGAGCAUCUUCAGCCCAGCCUGUCCUGAGCAGCUACCAGCAGGUUGCUUCCGCCCAGCCUGUAGUGAGCAGCUACCAACGCGUGGCUUCAGCCCAGCCUGUCCCAUCUGCUUCCCAGAGAGUAUCUUCCGCCCAGCCUGUAGCGAGCAGCUACCAGCAGGUUGCUUCCGCCCAGCCUGUAGUGAGCAGCUACCAACGCGUGGCUUCAGCCCAGCCUGUCCCAUCUGCUUCCCAGAGAGUAUCUUCAGCUCAACCUGUACAGAGCAGCUAUCAGUCUGGCCUUUCUUCCCCAAGUGUUGGCUUUGGUUCUAGUGCUGUGGGAACCGGACAAAGUGCUUCGAGUCUGUACAGCUCUCAGGACGUUUCCUCUACUUCAACCUACAAGCCCUCUGUUGGCGCUCUAGGACCUGCCCAAAGCACGUACCAGCAGGGAGUUUCAUAUCGGCCUGUGCAGAGCACUUUGCCAUCCAGCUUUGUUUCUAGGGCAUAUCCAUACGCCUCAAGCUUUAAGCCCUCUACUAGCACUUCAAAGCCAGUCCAAAGCGGCUACCAGCAAAAAGCAUCAGAUCAGCCUGUCCAAACUGCUUCCCAGAGAGUAUCUUCAUCCCAGCCUGUAACAAGCAGCUACCAACAGGUUGCUUCAUCCCAGCCUGUAGCAAGCAGCUACCAACAGGUGGCUUCAGCCUGGCCUGUCCCAUCUGCUUCCCAGAGAGUAUCUUCAGCCCAGCCUGUCCAGUCAGCAUACCAGCAGGUAGCUUCCACACAGCCUGUGUGGAGUAGUUCUCCACCUAGCUUUGUUUCCCAAAAGGUUGGCUUUGAUUCUAGUGCGGGGAGAGGCUCCGGGGUGUCCUCCUAUACCUCAAGCUUUAGGCCCCCCACCAGCAUUUCUAAGCCUGUCCCAAGCAGCUACCAGCAAGUAACUUUAUCCCAUCCAGCUCAGAGUAGCUACCCGCCUGAAGCUGCUUUCCAAAAUAUUAGAAUGGAUUCUUCUUUGACUGAAGUGGUAGGAAGUGUCUUGAGAAAUGACUACGGUUCUGAAGUAGCUACAACUGGAUUAAACUACAGGCCUUUCACCAGCAUAUCUACACCUUCCCAAAGUACUUGCCGACAGGUGACUGCAGCCCAGCCCGUUCAGAGCCGAUACCAAGAUGUGCCUUUUUCCCAAACCAGCUAUGGUGCUAGUUUGAGUGGUGUGACUUCAACUGGUUCAAGGAGUCUGUAUACCCCUUCAGACUCGGUGGCUUCUGCUCAAGCGUUCAGAUCACCAUAUUCCUAUGCUCAGGCUUUGAGUUCCCUAGACAACUCUCAACCCUCUGCUGGCUCUCCAAGAUUAACAUGGACACAAAAGGUGCUGGAGUAGCUGAUAGCUUCCACUCCAUGGUAAGUCUAUUCUUAAUUUGUUUCAGCUCGUCUCAAUUUUGUGCACCUGCACGUGUUGAAUUUGUACUGUUUCCGCUUUCAGGUGGGAUUGUCGCAGCAGCUGAACCUUUGAUUCAAAACUUUCUAAAUAAAUAUUCAACUCUUUUGGGAUGUCUUGUGUUUUGUUCUAAAUGCAAGUGUUCGGGAAGUUUAUUUGGGGCUCUAAGACAAUCUGUUGACUUUUGGGUCAUCUGGUUAUUAAAGUAAAAGGUAAGCUCAGUUAUUG